rnacentral:rRNA from 1 species
GAGUUUGAUCAUGGCUCAGAUUGAACGCUGGCGGCAGGCUUAACACAUGCAAGUCGAGCGGUAACAGGGGUAGCUUGCUACCUGCUGACGAGCGGCGGACGGGUGAGUAACGCGUAGGAAUCUACCCAGUAGCGGGGGAUAGCCCGGGGAAACCCGGAUUAAUACCGCAUACGCCCUAUGGGGGAAAGCAGGGGAUCUUCGGACCUUGCGCUAUUGGAUGAGCCUGCGUCGGAUUAGCUAGUUGGUGGGGUAAAGGCCUACCAAGGCGACGAUUCGUAGCUGGUCUGAGAGGACGAUCAGCCACACCGGGACUGAGACACGGCCCGGACUCCUACGGGAGGCAGCAGUGGGGAAUAUUGGACAAUGGGGGCAACCCUGAUCCAGCCAUGCCGCGUGUGUGAAGAAGGCUUUCGGGUUGUAAAGCACUUUCAGUGAGGAGGAAAUGGUCAUAGUUAAUACCUGUGACAAUUGACGCUACCCACAGAAGAAGCACCGGCUAACUCCGUGCCAGCAGCCGCGGUAAUACGGAUGGUGCAAGCGUUAAUCGGAAUUACUGGGCGUAAAGCGCGCGUAGGCGGUCUGGUCAGUUGGGUGUGAAAUCCCCGGGCUUAACCUGGGAACUGCAUCCAAUAAUGCCAGGCUGGAGUAUGGGAGAGGGUAGUGGAAUUCCACGUGUAGCGGUGAAAUGCGUAGAUAUGUGGAGGAACACCCGUGGCGAAGGCGACUGCCUGGCCCAAUACUGACGCUGAGGUGCGAAAGCGUGGGUAGCGAACAGGAUUAGAUACCCUGGUAGUCCACGCUGUAAACGAUGUCAACUAGCCGUUGGAGGACUUGAUCUUUUAGUGGCGCAGCUAACGCGAUAAGUUGACCGCCUGGGGAGUACGGCCGCAAGGUUAAAACUCAAAUGAAUUGACGGGGGCCCGCACAAGCGGUGGAGCAUGUGGUUUAAUUCGAUGCAACGCGAAGAACCUUACCAGGUCUUGACAUCCUGAGAAUCCUGUAGAGAUACGGGAGUGCCUUCGGGAAUUCAGUGACAGGUGCUGCAUGGCUGUCGACAGCUCGUGUCGUGAGAUGUUGGGUUAAGUCCCGUAACGAGCGCAACCCUUGUCCUUAGUUGCUAGCAGGUGAUGCUGAGAACUCUAAGGAGACUGCCGGUGACAAACCGGAGGAAGGUGGGGACGACGUCAAGUCAUCAUGGCCCUUACGACCUGGGCUACACACGUGCUACAAUGGCCGGUACAAAGGGCAGCAAAGCGGUGACGUGGAGCCAAUCCCAUAAAACCGGUCGUAGUCCGGAUUGGAGUCUGCAACUCGACUCCAUGAAGUCGGAAUCGCUAGUAAUCGUAGAUCAGAAUGCUACGGUGAAUACGUUCCCGGGCCUUGUACACACCGCCCGUCACACCAUGGGAGUGGGUUGCACCAGAAGUGGCUAGUCUAACCUUCGGGGGGACGGUCACCACGGUGUGGUUCAUGACUGGGGUGAAGUCGGAACAAGGUA